GGUUGGUCUUCUUCCAUCAAUUAUCUCUCACAUCUCACUGGAUUUUUUUCCUCUUCAUUUUCUCUCAAUGAUGACAAUAAGUCGAAUCAGAACUCAAUUUUACUUCUUAUUAUCAAUGAGAUCCAUUAGUUUUGAGAUUCCUCUGAAUCAAUAUGAAGAAAUCUAGGGUUCUUAAUAACAAAUCGGUAUUUAAAGAAAAUUUCUCAUCACAAUCCAUGUUUUUUGAGUUUGGCUGGUGGUGAGAUCAAAGGAUUUUUUGAUGAAAAACUUCAAUAGCUACCUAAACUAGAUAUCUAUUCCAACAACAUCUUUUUCUCUCCAGCUUUAGAGAAUACUACUUGUGGUUCACUUCUCUAAGAAUUACAGUAAGUAGAAGAAGAGGUUAUGUUCUGUUGGUGCUCAUCAAGGUGUUCUAUUAAUUCAUGGCGGAGCAAGGGAACAAACUGUAUGAUCUGCAGGGGUGGAAGCACAGGUUGACUUAACCUGGAUGUAGUUAAUACUUUGGGGUCGGAUUUUGAUUGGUGACGCAAUUGGAUGUUUGGGGUUGGAUUUGAUUAAUACUUUAUGCAUGAUAAUUUUGUUUUAUAGUUUUAUUCUUUUGAAUGCUGGAAUUGGGGGGGCGUUGUUAUUGUACCUGGAUUAAUUCCCGAAGCUGGUGCAGGUGAUUAAAUGUAAAGGCCUUGAAAUGGUUAGGACUGGAUUUUGGCAUUUUGUUUUAAACAUCUCCCAAGAGAAUAAGCCAAAAUGUGAAUGCUUAUGAAGAUCCAUAUGUGUUUACUGCAUUUGCGAAUCAAGCUCCAUAAUUUCAACAUUAUGUAUCCGACAACGAGUAUUGAGAUGGAGAUCAGGAGAGAUCUUCCUGUAUACUUAGCAAAAGGGGUGAUCCAUGCACUUUGCUUGCAAGCAUUAUGCCAGUAUACUAUUCCGCACUGUUGGACAGCUCAGUUUAUCAUCUUUUUUUGCUGGUUUUAGCUUUUUUUUGGUGUCUGUAAGUUGGGUUCUUGUGAUUGUAAGAAAAUUAAUCUUUAAGAAUGCUUAAAACAGUACUCGCCUAGAGUUUUUUGAGUUUUAUGACCUAAGUGUCAGCCUGAUUCAAAUGUAAAUUGAGUUAGUAUUAUCGUAAACAAAUUUGAAUUGAAUGGUGAAAGUUUUGAUAUCGAAUGAGCUUCUAUUGAAA